GGGGCCAUUUGGCCCAUCUUGUCCAUGCCAACCCAAAGACACCCAGGUGCCCUUUGUAAUCCCAUCUUCAUGUACAUGGCCCAUAGCCCUGUAGCUUACAGCACUUAAGGGAGGAACAGGAGCUGUAGACAGCUAUGUGAGACAUCAUGGCUCUCAUUGGCCAGAGGCUGCAGCUGUUCAGCAAUCUCAUGAGUCCUUAGUUGUUCCUCUAUGGGCAGGUUGGUGGUUGCCAUGGUAGACCGGGCUCCGGCAUCCACAGCAGCUGGGCAGAUACAUACAGACCUGCAAAACAUCGUCCCAGACAUUGGUCCUCAGGAAGCAAAAGGCAUGGAGACACAGGAUGGGGCACCCCUGGCACACAACCCCAGGCCAGAAGAUCCCCAGCCAGAGGCACCCGAGAAGCUUUCCCUCCACCUCCCUGCCUAUCUCUGACCCUCAACUCAAGGCCUAGGGAGGUCUGACUUGCUGCUAGUAAGAAGACCUCAGCAUGUUUAUCCCAUCCAGAACAAACAUCCCUGGGGAUUCCUAAUCAAAUCUCCAGGGGUUCCACUGUGAAGCAGGAUCCCUCCAUCCUAAUUGUGGACCUAGGGACAACACUGAGUCAGAGUCAGAGGGAAAGAAGCUGCUGCAGUAAGUGGAAGUAGGAGGAUCUAGGGUUCUCCUGGCAUCAUCGCUCCUCUUGGUCAAACGCCCCUAAGAGAUUGAAACAUGGCUGUCUUCUCGAUGCACAUGCAGUGUGUCUACUGUGUAAGGUGCUGGCACUUGGUGCAGCUAUGAGUGUGAUGUUACGUACAUCACCUUGCCUGAGGACAGCUGACAUGUCAGGCAAGCUACCUGGUUAGCUGGUUGUGCUAAGAGUCCUGGCAAGGCAAGAUAGUGAUGCUGUGGGCAUGCUAAGUCAACAAAUGCAAGAAGAGCAAGUGAGCAGCUCAGGGAUUCAGUCUGUGAGCUUGUGUGUAAGAAACUGCUGGCUCCUGCUGCUCCUUGCAAUGCAGGCCUAUCUUUCCUAUGAGUGGAUCAGAUGGCUAUACCAUGAGGAUCCUGAAGGGAUGGAACUUAUUGAAUGCCAAUGUCUGUGGAGAAGAUUGUGUAGGGCUGGUGCCUGCGGAUCAUGCCCUGAAAGGCUGUUGUGUAAUGAUCAAUGUGGAGUUCCUCACAGUCUGCAGUGAGCUGACGUCACCAGGUUCCCACCCUGACGUCCACCUCAUCAACUCUCAGCACCUCGUCUACAAGGAGUGAGUGAUGGGAUUGGACACCACAUACUAGUGAGGAAUGAUGUGCAGUAAAUAAGGUCAUUAACAAUAAUCUUUCUUAAUAGUCAGCUUGCCGCUUCCUGGUGAGGAAGGACAUCCGGAACUCAGUUACAGGAUGCAGCACAUUGCUCUUUGCGUGUGUUAGGUCUUGCUAGACUUCUCAUGUGAUUCUGCCACGUCUCUCGCUGUAGCCCACAUCGUUCAGGUUUCACCCUCACUUUCAAUUCCAGAUUUAUUUCUACUUCACGAGUUACCUGGUGGUUUUUGGGCCCACAUCCCCAACACAUAGCAUGGUUCUCUGCACUGACAUUUUCACUGCUACUAAUCUCCAGGACCCCGCUGUGAGUUAACUUAUGAGAAACAUUAUCCUGGCAAUAUCAUGUUGGAUGAUAUUUGAAAUACUUUUGUUUACUAAUUGUGAAACAACAGAGCAUGGGAAAAUAAGCUGAUGACUGACAAGGAGGAGUCAUCCAAUCAUGUUCAUUUCUGAUUGGCAUAGCAAGGUGAUACAUCAUGAGAAGGGGAACAUUGAGUAGCCAAUGGCAGAUGUGCAGGUGGGUUAGUUGGAACAAUUACAAUUUGUGAUGAAAGCUCCAGAGAUAUCCCCAACCAGAGCUGGCAACUCCAGGAGACUGAGAACAAAUUUGAUCUUGGAAUCAAUAACCACAAAUUGAUAUUUCGCCAGUGGAAAGUGCACUACGUUAUUUCUUUAUCCUGAGGAGAGAUGUCAAAUUAACUCAACGUAUGGUGAGAUGUAACAGUAAUAGUACUCAUUUCCUUAAUUAGAAAGUAAAACCACUCCUCGAAACAACGUCUUCCCAACAUUGAACCCUACGACAAAAACCUCCUCCCACUUUCUGCCAGAACAAGAUGUCCCCCUGAUCAGGAGCUCAAUAACCAGGGGGUAGAGAUUUAAGGAAAAGAGCAAGAGGUUCAGAGGGGAUGUGAGGAAACUGUUUUUUCCACCCAGAGGGUGAUGGUAAUCUGGGACUUACUGCCUGUAAUAUUGUGAGACAGAAAUGCUCAUCACAUUUAAAUGGUAUUGAGACGUGCUCUUGUGACGCCAAGUCAUAAGAUGCUAUGGGCCAAGUACUGGAACAUGGAAUUAGAAUAAUUAGGUGGUUGUUUUUAACUGGGGCAAACUCAACGGGCUGUAUAUAUCUAUGACUGUGUGUUUUUACAUUCAGCCUUCAUGAUCAAAACAAUCAAAACACCUUUUGCUUCACAUUUACAUUAUGGCCUGCCAGAUUGUUAAGCAACCUGACUUCACUCUAAUCUCUCCAAGUGUUGAGAUACAAAGACCUUACUUGGAAGCCUGCUGUUAUAGAGCUGGAGUGUGUACCAUCUGCAGCAGUUCUGGAUCUUCUUAAAAGUGAAUUUGUAUUUGAGAUGGCAGCGUGGCAACUAACUGUCCACAGAACUGCAUCAAUAAGAGAUCAUUGAAAUGUCCUUAUCGUUUAGGGUCUGAGCUGGAGAUUAGAUUUUAGGGCUCAGGAGGGAGAUGAAAAUAAAGCUUGCUGAUAUAUUUACUUUGAUAUUCACCUACUUGUGUUAUCAACCUUUU